rnacentral:rRNA from 1 species
UACGAACUGCGCGAACGUUAUUCGGAAUCACUGGGCUUACAGGGUGCGUAGGUGGCAUUGAAAGUAGGGUGUGAAAUGCCUUGGCUCAACCAAGGCACAGCGCUCUAAACUACUUUGCUUGAGUAGGUCAGGGGUGCACGGAACUUCCGGUGGAGCGGUGAAAUGUGUUGAUAUCGGAAGGAACACCGGCGGCGAAAGCGGUGCACUGGGGCUUAACUGACACUGAGGCACGAAAGCCAGGGGAGCGAACGGG